GACACGUGAAAUCCUGUCUGAACAUGGGGGGACCAUCCUCCAAGCCUAAGUACUCCUUAUCGACCGAUAGUGAACAAGUACCGUGAGGGAAAGGUGAAAAGCACCCCGACGAGGGGAGUGAAACAGUUCCUGAAACUGGAUGCCUACAAACAGUUGGAGCCCAAGGUUCGUCCUGGGUGACAGCGUACCUUUUGUAUAAUGGGUCAGCGACUUAUGUUCAGUGGCGAGGUUAACCGUUUAGGGGAGCCGUAGGGAAACCGAGUCUGAAUAGGGCGAUUUAGUCGCUGGGCAUAGACCCGAAACCGGGCGAUCUAUCCAUGAGCAGGUUGAAGGUUGAGUAACAUCAACUGGAGGACCGAACCCACUGUCUUUGAAAAGCCAGGGGAUGACUUGUGGAUCGGAGUGAAAGGCUAAUCAAGCCCGGAGAUAGCUGGUUCUCCCCGAAAGCUAUUUAGGUAGCGCCUCGGACGAAUACCACAGGGGGUAGAGCACUGUUUCGGCUAGGGGGUCAUCCCGACUUACCAACCCGAUGCAAACUCCGAAUACCUGUGAGUACUAUCCGGGAGACACACGGUGGGUGCUAACGUCCAUCGUGAAGAGGGAAACAACCCAGACCGCCAGCUAAGGUCCCCAAGUACCAGUUAAGUGGGAAACGAUGUGGGAAGGCUCAGACAGCUAGGAGGUUGGCUUAGAAGCAGCCACCCUUUAAAGAAAGCGUAAUAGCUCACUAGUCGAGUCGGCCUGCGCGGAAGAUGUAACGGGGCUAAAUUGGUAACCGAAGCUGCGGAUGCAUGCUUGCAUGCAUGGUAGAGGAGCGUUCUGUAAGCCGUUGAAGGUGAACCGGGAGGUUUGCUGGAGGUAUCAGAAGUGCGAAUGCUGACAUGAGUAACGAUAAGGGGGGUGAAAAACCUCCCCGCCGGAAGAUCAAGGUUUCCUGUCCAACGCUAAUCGGGACAGGGUGAGUCGGCCCCUAAGGCGAGGCAGAGAUGCGUAGUCGAUGGGAAGCAGGUUAAUAUUCCUGCACUUCUUUAUAUUGCGAUGGGGGGACGGAGAAGGCUAGGCCAGCGCGGCGAU
rnacentral:rRNA from 1 species